AUUGAACGCUGGCGGCAGGCUUAACACAUGCAAGUCAAGCGAGUGGCGGACGGGUGAGUAAUGUCUGGGAAACUGCCCGAUGGAGGGGGAUAACUACUGGAAACGGUAGCUAAUACCGCAUACCAUCUGAUGUGCCCAGAUGGGAUUAGCUAGUAGGUGGGGUAAUGGAUCACCUAGGCGACGAUCCCUAGCUGGUCUGAUAGGAUGACCAGCCACACUGGAACUGAGACACGGUCAAGACUCCUACGGGAGGCAGCAGUGGGGAAUAUUGCAAAAUGGGAGCAAGCCUGAUGCAGCCAUGCCGCGUGUGUGAAGAAGGCCUUCGGGUUGUAAAGCACUUUCAGCGAGGAGGCGUUACUCGCAGAAGAAGCACCUGCUAACUCCGUGCCAGCAGCCGCGGUAAUCC
rnacentral:rRNA from 1 species